AGUUUUAUAUUCAAUACAUGAUAUUAAAUUGCAAAUUUAAAGUAGUAAUUAUUUACUAAAACUU
rnacentral:tRNA from 1 species